UGGAAAGUCAAUACUGAUGGGGAAGC
rnacentral:piRNA from 2 species